rnacentral:rRNA from 1 species
AUUGAACGCUGGCGGCAGGCCUAACACAUGCAAGUCGAACGGUAACAGGGAUCAGCUUGCUGAUUCGCUGACGAGUGGCGGACGUGUGAGUAAUGUCUGGGCAACUGCCUGAUGGAGGGGGAUAACUACUGGAAACGGUAGCUAAUACCUCAUAACGUCGCAAGACCAAAGAGGGGGACCUUCGGGCCUCUUGCCAUCGGAUGUGCCCAGAUGGGAUUAGCUAGUAGGUGGGGUAACGGCUCACCUAGGCGACGAUCCCUAGCUGGUCUGCGAGGAUGACCAGCCACACUGGAACUGAGACACGGUCCAGACUCCUAAGGGAGGCAGCAGUGGGGAAUAUUGCACAAUGGGCGCAAGCCUGAUGCAGCCAUGCCGCGUGUAUGAAGAAGGCCUUCGGGUUGUAAAGUACUUUCAGCGGGGAGGAAGGGAGUAAAGUUAAUACCUUUGCUCAUUGACGUUACCCGCAGAAGAAGCACCGGCUAACUCCGUG